CAUACAGAUAUAAUGUCAGCGAACGUUUAAGAUCAGAAGAAUUUGAUGUUGAGAUAUUUAAUUCGCUAACAUUUAGACAAGGGGAUGGUUUUGUAACAAUAAAAACGCCUUUUGAAGAAAAAUCCAAGGAGCUUUGAGUGUUAAGCCACUAUAAGGUCGCCAACAUUGAGAAUGUGCCAGUAAAGGACAGAUGGAAGUUCAGCGAAGCUACUGUUAGAUUGUACACAAGCGAUGAAUCAAAAGAUCAAACACUUCAUACUGGACUCAAUGAGACGAUGCAAACUAUAUUUGAUAAAUUACUAACUGAUCCGAAGCGUCAAACUAUUAAGAGCAAGACGAGUAUUUGAUUAUUAUAUGAAAAAAAUAAAUUUCAUUUAAUAAACAAAAAAUUAUUAUACAUGUA
rnacentral:lncRNA from 1 species